AAGAUGGGCAUGGGGGUGCUCCUGGACACCGUGUGACAGCUCACUCUUUCUCUGUCCGACAGCGGGACCCUUCAGAUGAGGAGCUACCCGGCAAGAUGCAAUCGUGUCACAGAAGUUGUCUGAAGAAGAGGAAAACUGAAAAGCCAUGGAAUUGGAAAAGAUAAAUAGAAAGAAUUUUUAGGAGCUCACCGACCAGGAAGUCUGCUCGGCCUGGAAAAAAACAUCAUUCCCAUGCCGAAAUACCACAUGAUUGGACUGACUUGGCCCAGCUCCAUGAGCAACCUCCAAGAAGCCAAGUGUUCCUUGCUCUUCUGAUCUAGCCAGACUCCAUUAGACUCUCCUGGAUUCUGGAAGCAGUGGCCUGUGUCACCUCAGGAGAACAUCAGGAUGGCAGCAAAACUGUUUGGAUCACCAUCCCGAUUCUGGCACAGCCUGAUAAUGAUGUCCUCACCCCAGGAAAUGUGUCCAGCCGAUCCUGCACUUUCCUGGACUUAGGUGAACCUGCGAACGUGCCUUGAUAAUUUCUGUGUCAGGACAGUAAGGGUCUUUAAGAGGUGGUGCAUGUCUAAAGACCAGAAGGUGGCAGGAUCAGCUCAUCCAAAUGCAGAGACAGAGCGGAGGAUUUGGACUUGUCCCUCCCUGCAGCCUCUGCAGUUUCUCCUUCCUGCUGUGGCAGGGGCACGUGGUGAAUGCUGAUGAGAUGAUCCUAGACCACGGUGAUGCCAGGCAGCUAAUCCAGGCCAUUGUCCUGGAUCUCCCUGUGUCCCGCUUGGUGAGGUGUGUAAGCUGAGUUACCUUUACCCCUCUCUCAUGGAGACACUACAUUCUGGCUCCCAGGAACCUGCUCAACACAUUUCAGGUUCAGAAGUCCCGAUGCCUUCUCAGCUGAAGCUGUCGGUCCUUCAGCAGGAAGCACGGCAGGUUUGGUUAAUGGGAGCCACGAACUAACAAGAUUGUGCAUCUGCUGGGGGUCGGGGGGAGACGACAAUGUUUCCAUCUCUAAACAGAGGUGCUUUCUGCCAACUAGGGUCUCACGAGCUGUUUUUCUAGCAUUUCUCUGCUCCCCAGUUAUUUGCUGGUAUUCCCAGGGCUCACUUUCUCCAGCUUCUUGCUUGUGCCCCGGGAAUAUUGAAGAGAGAGGAUUUUACUCGCUGAGCUCUCUCCCCAGCUCCCCUGGGUGAAGGUUCCUGGUGCCCCCAUUAACAGACCAUUCCUGCUGCUUAGGGAGCCCCUCUUGAGUCCCCAGAAACUCUGAUUAGGACUCUAGGAUAGGGCUUCCCUCUCACACGGAAGGACAAAUAAGAUCACCCUGAAAUGUGAAACGGCUUUGGAAAUAAAAGUACUUUAUGAAUAAAAAGGAUUGAGUAUAACUAAUGACAUUUAGAUGGGAAGCUUGCCCUGUCCCCGAUGUACUUUGUACAAAUGUGUAAACUUUAUUGCUUUCCCCUUCCCAUAAUUUAAAUAGGGUCUGUCUCCACCACUAGAUUAUAGGCUUCUUGAGAGCAGGGAUCAUGUCUACCGACUCUAUUAUUAUAUUCUUCUAAGUGCACACAGUAAGUGCUCAAUAAAUAAUGCCGAUUGACCAAUAAGCCACUAUUAGAAAUUUGACUCUCCCAUCUUUUUAAAUAGUAUCUGUU